rnacentral:lncRNA from 1 species
UUCUAUCUCUAUUCACGAUAGACACACACAGAGACCAUAUCAUGUCAAUGCAUUUUCUAUCGUUUUCGGUGAAGAGCGCUGCAAUGAACCCCCACGACGUGCCCCUCACCUCCAUCUCACUCGCACCCUCUCUUCUCUAUUUUCUUUUCUCCGACUAGAUGACAACGGCGGGCCACUGCCGUCUCAUCCCUAGCAGCGCGACCAUCACCGCCGCCCCCUUGAAUCCUAGAUCCCCAAAAUUGCCGCAGCUGUCUAUUGUUUCUUAUCCGGCAAACUAACACUCCUCUCUGGCCGAAUCCUUCAUCCCUCAAAUCGAUAAAUCUCAACACCGAAAUUGAAGCUCAAAUCGAUAGGUCUCAGCGUCGUCGCCCUCUUGUCUCCCUUAAGUAACCCUGCCUCCCUCAAGUAACUGUUGCCGCCCUCUUGCAUCCCUCAAGCAAUCAUUGUCGUCCUUUAUCCUCUUUU